AGAGCAUGCUGCCGUGCCCCCCUCCAAGCCCACAGGCUUUCCCUGGCUUCCCUUUGCGGGGCUGGCGGGGAAAUCCACCUAAAGCUGGGCUGAAAAUCAGGGAGAGGUGGCGGAACAGCGGUUGGAAGAGUUUGUUCCAGGAAAAACUUCUUUCCCAUGGACUUUUCACUUUUUUUGGCCAGUGAAAAAGAUGUUGGGGUGAAUUUAUGUGCGUUUUCCUACGAAACAGCAAAUUCAAGGCCUCCUGUGUCAUCCUUAUAUUUUCCAGCUGACUUGAGACUAAAGAGAUCUUCUUGAAUACUAGCCAUGCCGAGCCCAGCUGUGAUGGCUGCACAAGUGACCCAGGUGCCUGCUAGUACAGAUGGUGCUGGUGCAGGUUUCGAGCAGGCAAAACAGUUCCAGUUCUGCCUGUAGUUCCUCCGUGACCAUGCUUCCUACUUCCCCAAAACCUAGCUCCAUCAACUCUGUCUCAGCUCUUUAAUCCAACCCCGUUCUGCCAGCAGAGAACCUGGCACAGCUCAGCUGCCACCCCCUCUCAUGCCCCCCCACACUGCUUCCCAGCCCUGGGGAUGCCCCAUGCUUGCACAUCUGGGCAUCCUUGCACGCUUGAAGUGGCCCAGGCAGCCUGCAAGCUUGCAGGCAGGUUCCAGCUCAGAAAUGCAGUGAGUUCUGCAUCUCCAGAGCACGCUGAUCUGGCAGAGGGUAGCUGAGCUAUCCUGAAGCCUGGUUAACCAUUUUCCAAUUGCAUGGAGGUAAACUGGAAAGCAACAGCGAGUUGCUUGGGAGUUAUGCUGAAGCAUGAGAGCGAUCCUCCCACGCAAGCCCAACCCUUAUUUGAGAUGGGGGCAUGUGGGUGGGAAAAUCUGACCCCAAUAUUCUCCUGAGGAACCUAUGGCUGGAGGAAGCCCCAACAUCUCCUGGGGUGACCAAUAACCAGGUUCAAAAAGUCAUCAAUCAGGAUACUGAAGAAAGAUGGCACAGCUUUCCAGAAAGACCAAGCCAGAGCAGGAUUUUGGCUGCAGAGCACUGAGAUGAUUUAGGAGGUAAAACACUUGAGUUUGUGUCAAAUUUCCCUUUCCUCUGCUCCCCAGCACCCACCCGGUUGCCUGUUAUUCUCCAGCCCUCCCUUGCUGCUCCCACCCCACUCCAAGCCACCGUCACCUCGUUGCUCAUUGUGGCACUGGCCGGGGUGACGACAGGCAGGCUUCGCACAUGCCGAGGGGCUGCACAGCGAGUGCUCAGCAGGUCAAAGCCCCCCUCAGCCACCUCCCCAUCCCUGGAGGGGCUCCCUUUCGCCUGCAGGGCAAGGGACUGCACCUUGGGGAUGCUGCCUCCUCCCAAGUACCCACCUCCUACCUUCUCCUGGGCAUUUCAUGGUAGCCACAGUGGUGUAAAAAACUAAAAACAGCGUCAACAAUGUGCAAACAGGUGUUUCCUAUAUAUGCAUAUGUGUACAUAUACAUACACAUAUAUCCCUGACGUGGCACUGAAACUACUUGCUGUUUUCUGUUACAAAAGCUUCAGUUUUGCCUCGAGGCACUUGCGAAAACAAGUCCGUGAUACACAUUACAGACAGAUACCACCACAGAAAUCUCCCCUCCUGCAGCUGUAGCGACUUUUUCCCUUGUAAACAUAUCAAGUUGAGAUCAAAAUUCGCUCCCUCCAAAUGAAUUCCUGCGUCUCCACUAGCUGCAUAUUUGUGGCUGUUUAGUAUUCCCAAUUUAGGCAUUGGCAGAAACAAAGAAUAAGUGAGUAUAAGAACACAUAUGCUGAGAAAUGCAGUGCUGAAGGGUAUCCCACCCUUAAUUUAAAUAGUAGAACUAAAAUAUCUCAUGUGUGUGUGUGUGUACACACAUAUGCACAUAUGUCAUGGUACUUAAGCAAACAUUAGAUCCACAGACCACUGAGCAUUUGCUUCUCCUAUGUCACAUUUGGAAAAGUGCUAAUGCCUUAUGGGAAAUGUGGAAAAAAAUGUAAAUAUUUUGUUCCAACGCAACAUAGCUUACCACUGCGCUUUUCUGACUUUCUCCUCCCUUGCAGCAAACAGCGAGCAAAUAAUGCUCCGAAUGCUUCUGCUUUCUCCACGUAUAAACUAAUUCUGCCCCUCUGAACCAGCCUAACUGGGAGCAGGUUUUUUCCAGGUGUGUUUUUCAUGCUCUACAAACCAUCAAAUUCAUCAAUUCAUAAAAAAAACCAAAAACCAAAA